rnacentral:rRNA from 1 species
UACGAAGGGGGCUAGCGUUGCUCGGAAUCACUGGGCGUAAAGCGCACGUAGGCGGCUUCUUAAGUCAGGGGUGAAAUCCUGGAGCUCAACUCCAGAACUGCCUUUGAUACUGAGUAGCUUGAGUCCGGGAGAGGUGAGUGGAACUGCGAGUGUAGAGGUGAAAUUCGUAGAUAUUCGCAAGAACACCAGUGGCGAAGGCGGCUCACUGGCCCGGUACUGACGCUGAGGUGCGAAAGCGUGGGGAGCAAACAGG